rnacentral:rRNA from 2 species
ACGGGAGGCAGCAGUGGGGAAUAUUGGGCAAUGGGCGCAAGCCUGACCCAGCAACGCCGUGUGAAGGAAGAAGGUCUUCGGAUUGUAAACUUUUGUCUUAUGGGACGAUAAUGACGGUACCAUAGGAGGAAGUCACGACUAACUACGUGCCAGCAGUCGCGGUAAUACGUAGGUGACAAGCGUUAUCCGGAAUUAUUGGGUGUAAAGGGUGCGUAGGCGGGCUGUAAAGUCAGAUGUGAAAUCCCGGGGCUCAACCCCGGAACUGCAUUUGAAACUUACGGUCUUGAGUGGAGUAGAGGUAAGCGGAAUUCCCAGUGUAGCGGUGAAAUGCGUAGAUAUUGGGAGGAACACCAGUGGCGAAGGCGGCUUACUGGGCUCUUACUGACGCUGAGGCACGAAAGUGUGGGGAGCAAACAGGAUUAGAUACCCUGGUA